ACGAACGCUGGCGGCGUGCUUAACACAUGCAAGUCGAACGGUGAAGCGCCUUCCUUUUUGGUGGGUGUGGAUGAGUGGCGAACGGGUGAGUAACACGUGAGUAACCUGCCCCCUUCUUCUGGAUAACCGCAUGAAAGUGUGGCUAAUACGGGAUAUUCUGGGUCUGCCGCAUGAUGGGUCUGGGAAAGAUAUUGUUUCGGUGGGGGAUGGGCUCGCGGCCUAUCAGCUUGUUGGUGGGGUGAUGGCCUACCAAGGCGGUGACGGGUAGCCGGCCUGAGAGGGUGGACGGUCACACUGGGACUGAGACACGGCCCAGACUCCUACGGGAGGCAGCAGUGGGGAAUAUUGCACAAUGGGCGCAAGCCUGAUGCAGCGACGCCGCGUGAGGGAUGGAGGCCUUCGGGUUGUGAACCUCUUUCGCCAGUGAAGCAGGCCUGCCUCGUUUGUGGGUGGGUUGACGGUAGCUGGAUAAGAAGCGCCGGCUAACUACGUG
rnacentral:rRNA from 1 species